rnacentral:lncRNA from 1 species
AUCAGGAGGAGGAAGAAAAUGAAAUGAGCAUAGAAAAAAGUUCAAAGAAAGUGUGAAGCAGGUCUACCCUUAGAUAAAUAUAUCAGAGAGGUCAUUCAUAAGUGCAGCAAGAAAUAUAUGAUUGCCACAGUACCUUACAUUAUAACAGCAAAAUAAAUAAUGGAAAGACUCUAAAUGUCCAUCAGGAAUAAAAUAGGUAACUAUAUUGUGGCAUUCUCAUACAAUGGAUUCUGGCACAUACAUAACAAUAAUGAACUACAGAUGUACACACUAAUAUGAAUGUUACUCAAAAACCUAAUUCUGAGUAAAAGAACCAACUCUCACACUACCACCGAAGAAUUUCCCAAAUGUAAUGUUGAGAGGGGGAAAAACAGCAAGUAAUAGAAAAAUGUAUACAACAUUAUGGCAUAUACAAAGUUCAAGAAGUAGGGAAAAUUAUAAGCUAUAGUAUUUACAAGUGUGUGUGUAUGUGUGUGGAGUAAAGGUAUUAAAAAUAAAAGAAAAUAUGAAGAUAUUAACACAAAACUUAGAAUAAUGGUUAUCCCUGGGGAGUAGGGAAUGCAGCAGGGCAAGAACAUAACAGCAAACAUCUAGUUCAUAUCUUUAGCCACUUGAUAGGAAAUUGUG